GUCAAAGAAAGAGCGGGGAGAAAAGACGAAGCGAAAUAAAACGCAACCAACGCCUAAGUACCUGCAUAUGAAGAUAAGCGAUUGUGUUUUAUACGCAAUUCUCACGUUCCUGGACUCAACAUCUUUUAUUUCGCUUCUUGGAAGCCAAUGACGCUAGAGUUCUUGGAGUUUGUAUGAAGACGGGCAGAGACUCGUGGUGCAAGCACUGAAGUAUACUGGACAUUGGAGAAGCGACGGAACCCACAAGGAGACGGUCAUCUCGCUCGUGGGUGGAUAAUAAACAUUGCAGAACACGGAGGCCAACGAGGGUGCGCACGUCAGGCAGCUGAAAAAAGCGCACAUUUAUAUGUAUGUAUGCGAGAUCGUGCACAUACUGCCAUCUCGCUCUAACCAACGAAGUUCUUGCGGGCCAGCAACUAGAGGCUUGAGUGCGCAGUUGGCUGAUGAAAUCGAGUGAAAAUUUCUGGAUUGUGGUUUGUUUGGUAAGUGCCAAUUUGAUUGUUGAUUUGGGGAAAGGUUAGUCUGCGGGUGAUGAUUACCAGAGCAAUGAGCAAAUUAAGGGCAACGGAUGAAAUGGACGAGGACAACGUUGAGAUGGGAAAAGUGGAAAGAGAAACCGCGCAAGGUGAAGCCUCAAAUAUGGAGGGGGCCGGGCCCGGCACCACA